rnacentral:rRNA from 1 species
GGAGAUUGAGCCUGGAUCUCGCCCAACGCUGGCGGCCUGCCUAAUACAUGUGGGUCCAUCGCUGAAGGUCGGAGCUUGCUCUUUCCGGAUGAGUUGCGGACGGGUGAGUAACGCGGAAGUAACCUGCCUGGCAUCGUCGGAUAACUAUGGUAAACCAUAGCUAAUACCGCUUAAUACUGAUUAUUGCAUGAUUGUCAAUUAAAAGGUGCACUUGCACUGGACCAGAUGGACCUGCUGUGUAUUACCUAGUUGGUGAGGUAACGGCUCACCUUGGCGACCAUGCGUAGCCCACCUGAUAGGGUGAUCGGUCACUUUGGGACUGACACACCUUCCUCACUCUUACUGGAGGCAGCCUCACGGAAUCGUCCGCAAUGGACAGAAGUCUGACCGAGCAACGCCGCGCGAGUGAAGAAGGUUUUCCGAUCGUCUAGCUCUGUUGUCUGAGAACAACGAGUGUGAGACUGGAAAGUCCACACUGUGACAAUAUCUUACCAGAAAGGGGCGGCUAACUACGUGCCAGACAGCCGCGGUAAUACUCGCGUCCCGAGCGUUGUCCGGAUUGAUUGGGCGCUUGCGAGCGCAGGCGGUUAGAUAAGUCUGAAGUUCCUUGCUGUGGCUUAACCAUAGUACGAUUGCUUAACUGUUUAACUUGAGUGCAAGAGGGGAGAGAGGAAUUCCAUGUGUACAGUCGAAAUGCAUAGAUAUAUCUACCAACACCUCUGGUCGAAAUUUGCUCUCUGGCUUGUAACUGACGCUGACGCUCGCAAGCGUGAGAGCACUUUCGACUACAGACCCUCCUCGUCUACGCCCUAACUAUGAGUGCUACAUGUUAGACCCUUUCUCGGCGCUUGCAGUCGUAGCUAACGCAUUAAGCACUCCACCAUGGGUAGUACGACCGCAUGAUGACCUAAUAGCUAUGAGCGUGGGCCCGCAUAAGCGCCGAACAUGCGGAUUACUCUCAGCACUACGUAAUACUUAGCAUGCUUGACGUCCUCUGACCGCCCUUACAGAUAAGGAUUCGCUCAGGACGACGUGACAGUCUCAGCAUCGUUCUCGUCUGACUCACUG